rnacentral:rRNA from 1 species
GCGUGUCGGUCCCAAGUGCCUUGGAACAGGAUACCGCAGAGGGUGAGAGUCCCGUAUCCGGCCGACGUCGCGCUCCGUGUGAGGCUCCUUCGACGAGUCGAGUUGUUUGGGAAUGCAGCUCCAAGCGGGUGGUAAAUUCCAUCUAAAGCUAAAUACUGGCCAGAGACCGAUAGCGAACAAGUAGAGUGAUCGAAAGAUGAAAAGCACUUUGAAAAGAGAGUCAAACAGUACGUGAAAUUGUUGAAAGGGAAGCGUAUGGGGGCAGACUUGGCCGCGGGGUUCAGGGCGUCUUCUGGCGCCUGUACUUCCCCGCGGACAGGCCAGCAUCGGUUCUGGGGGCCGGACAAAGGCGGCGGGAAUGUGGCUCGCUUCGGUGAGUGUUAUAGCCCGUUGUGCAAUGCGGCCACCCGGGACCGAGGACCGCGCCUUGUGCAAGGAUGCUGGCGUAAUGGCCUCAUGCGGCCCGUCUUGAAACACGGACCAAGGAGUCUAACAUCUAUGCGAGUGUUUGGGUGUCAAGCCCGGACGCGCAAUGAAAGUGAACGGAGGUGGGAGCCUGUCAAAGGGCGCACCAUCGACCGAUCCGGACGUCUUCUGAAGGAUUUGAGUAAGAGCAUAGCUGUUGGGACCCGAAAGAUGGUGAACUAUGCGUGAAUAGGGUGAAGCCAGAGGAAACUCUGGUGGAGGCUCGCAGCGGUUCUGACGUGCAAAUCGAUCGUCAAAUUUGCGUAUAGGGGCGAAAGACU